UCAAGUAAAGGUAAAGAAAUUCUUCAACGAGGAGCAAAAGAAUGGAAGAAAUAUUGAGUGAUUCUUUACGAAAUUAGUUAUUCCAAAAUAAAUUCCACAGCAAAAACUCUAGCAACUACCCAGGCAUGCACUAAAAGUAGAAGGGGUUCCAAAGAGACUAACAUAUAGUCAAUCAUGGAUGGCAUCAUUCUUAUUUCCUUUUCAAUUUUUUUUGUCAAAACAUUGAUGUGCCUCUUCAGCACUAUGCCAAUCACCUAUUUUCAAAUUUAUUUCAUUCUACUCAAUAUGGAUGUCACCCCUAGUUCUGAUUUAUACUCUGUUCAAUUUUUUCAAACAUUGGUUGAGAAAAUAAAAUUUACUACCAAAUUAACAUCUCAACAAAAAUGUCCGUACAACACUCAAUAACAAAUUCAAACUAACACACUAUUAGCCGGAAAAACUCCUACGAAUCCCACCAUUUGGGGAAUUGAUUUCACCAAGUAAUAGAACUCACAUAAUUCAGUGUGAUUCGAAGUAUUUCACCUGAUGAUAGUGUGUAUUGGCAAAAGUGUUCAAUAGAGGGUGUUGCUGCAUUAUUCAUGAAUCAUGACCAUAAUAUCAUUCAAGAAAGAAAUUGUAAUAAUACUUCAAAGAGAUUCAAAAAUAGAUCCCUUCAAAGAAGUGCCACCAUUUCAAGUAGAGAUCAUGGGUGAAUAUUCAAUAAAUCUUAAUAUUUCCAUCUACAGUAUUUUGCUACAUACUUAAAAAUCCAAAAAUACCUGUAUGAAGAAAUUUCUGCUUGUUCAAUUUCCAACUGCUUCUGAAGCUUUAGCUCAUUUGAUCUUAGUCUGAGUGCCUAAGAAGUUUAUUGAACACAACAAUAAAUUAAAAGUUGGAAUCUAAUAUAUCUAUUAUUCCUAACUUUUAGUAACAGUCAACCUUCAUGUGCUCAUUAAAAAAGUGAUGCUUAUGCCUGUGUUUCUGCUCGAUAGACAUUACAUAAUCACUUAUAUCAAGGGUGGAUGUGGUGAUGUUUUUAUUGAACCAGUCAAUGCAGAGAUAUUUUUACAUUAAAAUUCGAACAUUAACAUUUCUGUCCUGUUAAGUUUUUGGGCUAAAGCAUGGACAUUUGGUCUGAUGAAGAUGUGAUUCAUCCAAGUUGGAGCCCAUUACAUAUACAUUUAGUCACAUCGCAAGCACGUUCUACAAAUGGCCCGAGUUUCUAUAUAUUUAUAUUACAAGCUUGUCUAGUUUGUAUAUACUAACUAGAUUUCGGAUGAAGAGGUUAUCAUUUAAAAUUUGAGAUGUUUUUUCUGAUAUUACUAAUUAUCGAUCAUUUAAGUAGAUAUUUUGAAUGUCGUUAAUAUAUAGUAACUUCUAAAGAAAUAUUUAAUCAAUGUCAACCUACUAAUUUUUUGUUUAAAGAAGGGUGAUGUGAACAGAGCAAAAUUAAACUUCGUAUCUUUUCCAAGCAAGCACCUUUAACUUUAACUUGCCACAAGUAGCCCCUGAAUUGUUAUAAUGAGUUUGCUUUUAACUUAGUUAACUCAAAACCUAUGACCAAAUCAUAAUCGCUGUAGACAUUAACAAUUUCAGAUGAUUGUAGAUUAGUUAAUUUCAGAUGUGACAAAUUCCUCACCUAGACAAAAAUAUGCAGUUACAAAACAACUCAGAUGACAACUUGAUUUCAAAUAGAAGAUGACAAUUUUACAUGGUAUUCACAUUUAAAUACAAAUGCAGAACAUACCAAGAACAGAAUACUACCUUCUCCUCUAAGCCAAUGACUUCAGAUGCCAAUAACUUGGCACGCUCAUCAGCUGCAUUACACUCAAGUUGCACAUUUGUAUAUUCACUCCUAAUAGACUCCAGCUCAACCUGUUGAUGUGAAAUGUCAGAUACGUACCAAUAACAGUUAAUAGAGGCAAAUGGAGGAAGAACAAAGUGGAAAGCCUAUAGAGAGAUGCACAGAAAGUAUUAAAUAAAUAGGCAAGGCAAAAGAAAAAUGAUUGUAUAUAAGAUAUUUGAUGACAUCAAAUUUAACACCUCUCGUAGAAAGCGUGUUAAGUCAAAUAAUCCCCAUGGUGAUGUACAGUUUCAAGAAACCACCGAUAUCAAUUAAAAUGGAAGGGAUUUUUAAAAAUGUAUAAAAAAUGCUAUUCUAUAUAGCCAAAAUAGAAUACAAACAUUGCAGACAAAAGGUUACUCAGUCAUCCAAUGCAUCUAACCAGCACAUUUCUAUUCACCAAAGAUUUGAGAUAAGAAUAAAAAUGAUGUCAAUAAGAAGCUCAGUUCACCAGACUUUGUAAGUUUGGCUCGAAAGAUGCCCGAGUUACAUGGAGUCUUAUGAGACUAAAUAAACUGAGCCGAGCUAUAACAACCUUUAUAUCCAGAUUAAAAUACCAUAACCCAGCUUGAUUAAUCAUAUAAUAUUAUGUGAUUUAGUAUUAUAAUUUAUAUUUGUAAAGCUAUAGACUAAUAAUUACUGCAUAAUAGAAUACCAGCACGGCAAAAUGGUAUGCAAAUAGAUAGGGAGUAUUUAUACAAACCAGUUGUGCUUUGAUCUCUUGCUGUAAGUUCUCCAUGUCUGAUUUUAAUUGAUUGACGACACUUCUCUAUGAAAACAAAAAACAAAUCAUUAUAAAACAAAGCAGAAGACUGAUUUGUAUCCUUACAGACAACUAUGGUACUCCAAAAACACAAUGUAGCAAUUUAAAUCCAAAUCAGAGUGCAUAUAAUGGCAAAGUAACAAAGAACCAAGUACUAAGACAAAUUAUUAACCCACUAACAAAGGACGAAGAAGAAAUUACAUCUGCCUUUCAAGAUAUUUGCACAAUUUCUAUAGACAACUAAGUUCCUUUUCUAAGUCCCCAGACACAACAAAAUAUUCAAAUGUUUGAUCGCAUAUCAGAGGAGUACAAGUAGACCAAAAAGGCACUGAUUUGAAGAAAGCCACAGAAACCACUGCUCCGAUUAUUGCACAUAUCAUGUUAUUCAAAAAUGUGUGUGUGUGUAUGUGUGUUCAUGCGCUAUAGUGGAUGGACUUGGUUUCAACCUAUCCAGGACUGUAGGUCAACCCAUGUUCAAACCUCAAUAAGGAAAAAAAUCAUGUCAGCAAUGCAAGCUAACUGGACAGGACACAGGUUCAGUUUAUAAUGGAAUCGAUCGGACUGGCUGAUCUAUUCCAACUUCCUCAACAUUUUCAGGGGAAUCUUGGCACAACAGGCAGAGUUGAUGUUGAGUGACUGGAGGUCAUGCGCUGGAGUCAUGGAAUCAAUCUUUUGUGAAACCAAGGAAAGGCUGUUUACAAUAGAUAUGAAUGGGUACUUCCUUGAACCCUACCAUGAUGGAAACUUUAUAACACUGGGUUUCCCUCAACAUGAAAUAUCAAAAUGAAAUAUCAAAAUAUGUUUGCAUAAACACAUUAUGAUAUAAAAUCUAAAAGUACAUAUAUUCUACUAUGAUAACAAUGAAAAUCGUCAAUGCCAAUGGCAAGUGGUUGAUGAUGAAAAUAAGCAAAAGACAAAUAAAAAUAUGAUACUAAUA
rnacentral:lncRNA from 1 species